AAUUAAAUUAAGCAAUUAAAGUAAGGUUUGUUGCAUUAUAAAAUGGUCAAAUAAACAUUUUGUAUCCAUAUUAAAUGAGAAAGAGGAAAAAUAUGGCCCAAACUCAAAAGUUUGUUUAUGUAAUUAUUCUAUUUCUUUCAGUAUGUCUCGUGGUAACAAAAGUUGCAUCUCGUUAUUGUGAAUAUGACAUGGAUUGUGAAGAUUAUGUGUGUACCGCUCCUGAAGUUUCAAUGUGCAUUCAUACUUAUUGUCGUUGUGUUUAAAUAGUUGUUUCCAAUGUAGAUAUAUGGAAGUUAAUACUAUUGGGGUGUCUCCUUUGUAACAUGGCUUUAUCUAAGUUAUUUGAUGUUAUUUAUAAAGUUAUUGGGGUUAUAUUUUGGGGGUUUUAUUGGAAUAUAACUAUACCUAUUGUUCAACAAAUAUUGUUGUAUAUUUUGUUGGAAUUAGUUUAUUAAUCAAUCAUAUACAAAAUAUGUUCAAUAGAAA